rnacentral:rRNA from 1 species
AUUGAACGCUGGCGGCAGGCCUAACACAUGCAAGUCGAGCGAGCGGCGGACGGGUGAGUAAUGUAUGGGGACUGCCCGUUAGAGGGGGAUAACUACUGGAAACGGUGGCUAAUACCGCAUACUAUCGGAUAACCCAUAUGUGAUUUGCUAGUAGGUGGGGUAAAGGCUCACCUAGGCGACGAUCUCUAUCUGGUCUGAGCGGAUGAUCGGCCAAACUGGGACUGGGACACGGCCAAGACUCCUACGGAGGCAGCAGUGGGGAAUAUUGCACAAGGGGCGAAAGCCUGAUGCAGCAAUGCCGCGUGUAUGAAGAAGGCCUUAGGGUUGUAAAGUACUUUCAGCGGGAAGGCGUUAACCACAGAAGAAGCACCGGCUAACUCCGUGCCAGCAGCCGCGGUAAUUC